rnacentral:rRNA from 1 species
AACGAACGCUGGCGGCAUGCCUAAUACAUGCAAGUCGAACGAGAUCUUCGGAUCUAGUGGCGCACGGGUGCGUAACGCGUGGGAAUCUGCCCUUGGGUUCGGAAUAACUUCUGGAAACGGAAGCUAAUACCGGAUGAUGACGUAAGUCCAAAGAUUUAUCGCCCAAGGAUGAGCCCGCGUAGGAUUAGGUAGUUGGUGAGGUAAAGGCUCACCAAGCCGACGAUCCUUAGCUGGUCUGAGAGGAUGAUCAGCCACACUGGGACUGAGACACGGCCCAGACUCCUACGGGAAGCAGCAGUAGGGAAUAUUGGACAAUGGGCGAAAGCCUGAUCCAGCAAUGCCGCGUGAGUGAUGAAGGCCUUAGGGUUGUAAAGCUCUUUUACCCGGGAUGAUAAUGACAGUACCGGGAGAAUAAGCUCCGGCUAACUCCGUG